rnacentral:rRNA from 1 species
AAGCCAUGCAAGUCUAAAGGACUUCGGUCCUUGGCGGACUGCUCAGUAACACGCGGAUAAUCUGCCCUCGGGAGGGGGAUAAGCUCGGGAAACUGAGUAUAAUACCCCAUAGGUGUAGGACACUGGAAUGUUCUUACGCUGAAAGUUACGGCGCCCGAGGAUGAGUCUGUGGCCUAUCAGGCUGUAGUGAGUGUAACGGACUCACUAACCGACGACGGGUACGGGCCUUGAGAGAGGUCGCCCGGAGAUGGACUCUGAGACAUGAGUCCAGGCCCUACGGGGCGCAGCAGGCGCGAAAACUUCACAAUGUGGGCAACCACGAUGAGGGAAUUCCAAGUGCUCAUGCUUUGCAUGUGCUGUUUCUUAGCCUAAGUAGCUGGGAGAGUAAGGGCUGGGUAAGACGGGUGCCAGCCGCCGCGGUAAUACCCGCAGCCCGAGUGGUGAUCGGUUUUAUUGGGCCUAAAGCGUCCGUAGCCGGUCUGGUAAAUCCCUGGGUAAAUUGGGCAGCUUAACUGUCCGAAUUCCAGGGAGACUGCCAGACUUGGGACUGGGAGAGGCCAGAGGUACUCCAGGGGUAGGGGUGAAAUCCUGUAAUCCUUGGGGGACCACCAGUGGCGAAGGCGUCUGGCUAGAACGGGUCCGACGGUAAGGGACGAAGCCCUGGGGAACAAACCGGAUCAGAUACCCGGGUAGUCCAGGGUGUAAACGCUGCGAGCUUGGUGUUGGGGGUUCCACGUGGGCGUCCAGUGCCGGAGAGAAGUUGUUAAGCUCGCCGCCUGGGGAGUACGGUCGCAAGACUGAGACUUAAAGGAAUUGGCGGGGGAGCACCGCAACGGGUGGAGCGUGCGGUUUAAUUGGAUUCAACGCCGGA